rnacentral:rRNA from 1 species
GACCUAAGACAUGCAAGUCGAACGAGGAGGCCCAAUGAAGAUGGAGUGCUUGCACAAAGUUGGAUUUGGAUUCCCUCCUAGUGGCAGACGGGUGAGUAACACGUGGGUGACCUACCUUUAAGCUGGGGAUAACAAUUGGAAACGAUUGCUAAUACCGAAUAAGAUAUAAGAGUCAAUCUUAUAUUGAAAGGAGCCUUUAAAGCUUCACUUAAAGAUGGGCCUGCGGCGUAUUAACUAGUUGGUGAGGUAAUGGCUCACCAAGGUAACGAUGCGUAGCCGAACUGAGAGGUUGAUCGGCCACACUGGGACUGAGACACGGCCCAGACUCCUACGGGAGACAGCAGUUAGGAAUAUUCGUCAAUGGGGGAAACCCUAAACGAGCAAUGCCGCGUGAGUGAAGAUGGUCUUUGGAUUGUAAAACUCUGUUGUAUGGAAAGAAUAGUUAUGUUAGGAAAUGAACAUAAUGUGACGGUACCAUACCAGAAAGCCCCGGCUAACUACGUG